CCUUCACCCAGAAGGAGGAAGCAGGAGCAGCACCAUUCUCACUGCCAGAUCCCUGCACCACAUCAAGGCAUCAUCUUACCUAACUAGCCCCUGGC